GAUCAGGCUCAGGAUGAACGCUAGCGACAGGCUUAACACAUGCAAGUCGAGGGGCAUCAUGAGGUAGCAAUACCUUGAUGGCGACCGGCGCACGGGUGAGUAACGCGUAUGCAACCUGCCUGAUACCGGGGUAUAGCCCAUGGAAACGUGGAUUAACACCCCAUAGUACUUUUAUCCUGCCUGGGAUGGGAGUUAAAUGUUCAAGGUAUCGGAUGGGCAUGCGUCCUAUUAGUUAGUUGGG
rnacentral:rRNA from 1 species